rnacentral:tRNA from 1 species
CUGAGUAUAGCUCAGAGGUAGAGUGCAUGCCUAGUAUGCACAAGGCCCUGGGUUUGAUCCCCAGUACUGUGG